rnacentral:rRNA from 1 species
GUGUCAGCAGCCGCGGUAAUACGUAUGGGGCGAGCGUUACUCGGAUUUAUUGGGCGUAAAGCGAAUGUAGGCUGUUUAUUAAGUCAGUAGUGAAAUCCCCCGGCUCAACCGGGGAAUAGCUAUUGAAACUGGUAGACUUGAGGACAGGAGAGGAAAGUGGAAUUCCCAGUGUAGCGGUGGAAUGCGUAGAUAUUGGGAGGAACACCAGAGGCGAAGGCGGCUUUCUGGACUGGUCCUGACGCUGAGAUUCGAAAGCUAGGGUAGCAAACAGGAUUAGAAACCCGUGUAGUCC